rnacentral:rRNA from 1 species
GGUAACCGUAUGGCAGAGGCGGGGGGAAUAAGGAGGGGAUGAGCGUGAAUCGGAAUUAAUGGGCGGAAAGCGUGCGCAGGAGGUUAUAUAAGACAGAGGUGAAAUCCCCGGGCGCAACCUGGGAACUGCAUUGGUGGCUGUAUAGCUAGAGUACGGCAGAGGGGGAUGGAAUUCCGCGUGUAGCAGUGAAAUGCGUAGAUAUGCGGAGGAACACCGAUGGCGAAGGCAAUCCCCUGGGCCUGUACUGACGCUCAUGCACGAAAGCGUGGGGAGCAAACAGGAUUAGAUACCCUGGUAGUC